AGAGUUUGAUCCUGGCUCAGGAUGAACGCUAGCGGCAGGCCUAAUACAUGCAAGUCGGACGGUAGCCGACCCUUCGGGGCCGGCGAGAGUGGCGGACGGGUGCGUAACGCGUAUGCAACCAACCCCCCACAGCGGGACAGCCGGUGGAAACGCCGGGCAAUCCCGCAUGCCGCCGUGUCGGGGCAUCCCGGCAUGGCGAAAGGCUACGGCCGGUGGGGGACGGGCAUGCGUGCCAUUAGCUGGUUGGCGGGGCGACGGCCCACCAAGGCGACGAUGGCUAGGGGAUCUGAGAGGACGGUCCCCCACACUGGUACUGAGACAUGGACCAGACUCCUGCGGGAGGCAGCAGUAAGGGAUAUUGGGCAAUGGGGGGAACCCUGACCCAGCCAUGCCGCGUGAGGGAAUGGGGCCCUACGGGUCGUGAACCUCUUUUGCCGGGGGACAACGGCGGCGUCGAGAACGCCGCGUGCGGGUACCCGGCGAAUAAGCGUCGGCUAACUCCGUGCCAGCAGCCGCGGUAAUACGGAGGACGCGAGCGUUAUCCGGAUUCAUUGGGUUUAAAGGGUGCGCAGGCGGCCUGCCAAGUCAGCGGUGAAAGCCCGGGGCCCAACCCCGGAAGUGCCGUUGAUACCGUCGGGCUGGAAUGCGGUCGAGGCGGGCGGAACGUGGCGUGUAGCGGUGAAAUGCGUAGAUAUGCCACAGAACGCCGAUAGCGGAGGCAGCUCGCCAGGCCUGCAUUGACGCUCGGGCACGAAAGCGUGGGGAUCGAACAAGAUUAGAUACCCUGGUAGUCCACGCCG
rnacentral:rRNA from 1 species